rnacentral:rRNA from 1 species
GAUGAACGCUGGCGGCGUGCCUAAUACAUGCAAGUCGAGCGAACGGACGAGAAGCUUGCUUCUCUGAUGUUAGCGGCGGACGGGUGAGUAACACGUGGAUAACCUACCUAUAAGACUGGGAUAGCUUCGGGAAACCGGAGCUAAUACCGGAUAAUAUUUUGAACCGCAUGGUUCAAAAGUGAAAGACGGUCUUGCUGUCACUUAUAGAUGGAUCCGCGCUGCAUUAGCUAGUUGGUAAGGUAACGGCUUACCAAGGCAACGAUGCAUAGCCGACCUGAGAGGGUGAUCGGCCACACUGGAACUGAGACACGGUCCGGACUCCUACGGGAGGCAGCAGUAGGGAAUCUUCCGCAAUGGGCGAAAGCCUGACGGAGCAACGCCGCGUGAGUGAUGAAGGUCUUCGGAUCGUAAAACUCUGUUAUUAGGGAAGAACAUAUGUGUAAGUAACUGUGCACAUCUUGACGGUACCUAAUCAGAAAGCCACGGCUAACUACGUG